GCUACUGUCUGUUUAUUAUCUAUACAUAGUCACUUUACCCCUACCUACAUGUACACUGCUGCUACUGUCUGUUUAUUAUCUAUACAUAGUCACUUUACCCCUACCUACAUGUACACUGCUGCUACUGUCUGUUUAUUAUCUAUACAUAGUCACUUUACCCCUACCUACAUGUACAAAUUACCUCAACUAGCCUGUACCCCCACACAUUGACUCUAACGGUACCGGUACCCCCGUAUAUAGCCUCGUUAUUGUUAUUUUAUUGUGUGCAUUUUUUACUGCAGUUUAUUUGGGAAAUAUUUUCUUAACUCUUCUUGAACUGCACUGUUGGUUAAGGGCUUGUAAGUAAUGUUUCACAGUAAGGUCUACACUGUUGGUUAAGGGCUUGUAAGUAAUGUUUCACAGUAAGGUCUACACUGUUGGUUAAGGGCUUGUAAGUAAUGUUUCACAGUAAGGUCUACACUGUUGGUUAAGGGCUUGUAAGUAAUAUUUCACUGUAAGGUCUACACUGUUGGUUAAGGGCUUGUAAGUAAUAUUUCACUGUAAGGUCUACACUGUUGGUUAAGGGCUUGUAAGUAAUAUUUCACAGUAAGGUCUACACUGUUGGUUAAGGGCUUGUAAGUAAUAUUUCACUGUAAGGUCUACACUGUUGGUUAAGGGCUUGCAAGUAAUGUUUCACAGUAAGGUCUACACUGUUGGUUAAGGGCUUGUAAGUAAUAUUUCACUGUAAGGUCUACACUGUUGGUUAAGGGCUUGCAAGUAAUGUUUCACAGUAAGGUCUACACUGUUGGUUAAGGGCUUGUAAGUAAUAUUUCACUGUAAGGUCUACACUGUUGGUUAAGGGCUUGCAAGUAAUGUUUCACAGUAAGGUCUACACUGUUGGUUAAGGGCUUGUAAGUAAUAUUUCACAGUAAGGUCUACACUGUUGGUUAAGGGCUUGUAAGUAAUGUUUCACAGUAAGGUCUACACUGUUGGUUAAGGGCUUGUAAGUAAUGUUUCACUGUAAGGUCUACACUGUUGGUUAAGGGCUUGUAAGUAAUAUUUCACAGUAAGGUCUACACUGUUGGUUAAGGGCUUGUAAGUAAUAUUUCACAGUAAGGUCUACACUGUUGGUUAAGGGCUUGUAAGUAAUGUUUCACUGUAAGGUCUACACUGUUGGUUAAGGGCUUGUAAGUAAUAUUUCACAGUAAGGUCUACACUGUUGGUUAAGGGCUUGUAAGUAAUGUUUCACUGUAAGGUCUACACUGUUGGUUAAGGGCUUGUAAGUAAUGUUUCACAGUAAGGUCUACACUGUUGGUUAAGGGCUUGUAAGUAAUAUUUCACAGUAAGGUCUACACUGUUGGUUAAGGGCUUGUAAGUAAUAUUUCACAGUAAGGUCUACACUGUUGGUUAAGGGCUUGUAAGUAAUGUUUCACUGUAAGGUCUACACUGUUGGUUAAGGGCUUGUAAGUAAUAUUUCACUGUAAGGUCUACACUGUUGGUUAAGGGCUUGUAAGUAAUAUUUCACAGUAAGGUCUACACUGUUGGUUAAGGGCUUGUAAGUAAUAUUUCACUGUAAGGUCUACACUGUUGGUUAAGGGCUUGCAAGUAAUGUUUCACAGUAAGGUCUACACUGUCGGUUAAGGGCUUGUAAGUAAUAUUUCACUGUAAGGUCUACACUGUUGGUUAAGGGCUUGCAAGUAAUAUUUCACUGUAAGGUCUACACUGUUGGUUAAGGGCUUGCAAGUAAUGUUUCACAGUAAGGUCUACACUGUCGGUUAAGGGCUUGUAAGUAAUAUUUCACUGUAAGGUCUACACUGUUGGUUAAGGGCUUGUAAGUAAUAUUUCACUGUAAGGUCUACACCCUUGCUGUAUUCGGUGCAUGUGACUAAUAAAGUUGGAUUUGAUUGGAGUCUGUGUGAG